CCCUCCCCUAGGUAUAAUCAGUACCUAUGUUUGGCCUCAUCGCUCUCUUCACAUCCCAGGAGGCAGCUAAGCUCUCAUCAGAACAGUCAGUGUUGUUGGCAACUGUGAAGUGAAGGAAUGGCAGUCACAAGCCUGUCCCUCCCCCCAUCUCGUUAAAGGUAGCUCCUCAAGUAUCCAGGUGAGGAGCAGGGAAGAAAUGGCCAAGAAGCUUUGCUAGUGCCACACUUGCAAUCCGGCAGAUUUUAAAAUGCAUUCAAGUCCUCAGUCCCAGAAUCUGGCUAGGGGAGAAAACUUGGAGCUCCAUGAGUUGUUACUUUUAAGGAGGAAAUAAAACCAACCACCCCUCCCCCAAUUUAAGAAAAAUAAUUGCUUGGGUGGAGCAGCUGUGAGCAACUGUAAUUGGUCCCAGCAGCAUAUGGUCUCUCCUCAGAGAGGUAGACUCAGGGACUGCUCCAAAGGGGCUGCCAGUUGCAAAAAUCAGAUGUCUGUUGGAAGAGGGGUGGCAAGACCUUCUGAAUCGGAGCUGUACAGGCAGCCUGGGCACUGCAGGAUGGGAGUGUCCCUGAGUACUCGACAGGGUCAAGGCUUAUAAGGAAGGAAAACCACACCCCCCAAAAGACUGCAAUUCAAAGUCUGCUGCCAUGAAAUGGAAGAAGAGAAGAAAGAGGAAGAGUUUCACACCACAGCAGUCACCUUGAGGGACAAAUCAAGGAUUCUUCGAUGUGUCAAAUGUAAAGGUCAAUGAAGCUUGCAGGACAGUUUCAUCAUCAUCCUAUGUGCUAAUUUCCUCACAUUUAUGUCAUAAUCUGGCCUAGUCAAUUUUAUAAAAUAUCAUGAGGUCCAACACAUUGUAUUAUGGUCACAAAAUUUGCCACUACUCCAGAGCACCACGCUCUCAUAAAUAAGCAUCUGCCAGCAGCAAAGAACUCAAAAGUCUCCUAUAAACACACACCCUAAAACACUAAAGAAACAAAAGGAUGAGUAAAAUA
rnacentral:lncRNA from 1 species